rnacentral:rRNA from 1 species
AUUGAACGCUGGCGGCAUGCUUUACACAUGCAAGUCGAACGGUAACAGGCCGCAAGGUGCUGACGAGUGGCGAACGGGUGAGUAAUGCAUCGGAACGUGCCCAGUCGUGGGGGAUAACGCAGCGAAAGCUGUGCUAAUACCGCAUACGAUCUAUGGAUGAAAGCGGGGGACCGUAAGGCCUCGCGCGAUUGGAGCGGCCGAUGUCAGAUUAGCUAGUUGGUGGGGUAAAGGCCCACCAAGGCGACGAUCUGUAGCUGGUCUGAGAGGACGACCAGCCACACUGGGACUGAGACACGGCCCAGACUCCUACGGGAGGCAGCAGUGGGGAAUUUUGGACAAUGGGCGCAAGCCUGAUCCAGCAAUGCCGCGUGCAGGAAGAAGGCCUUCGGGUUGUAAACUGCUUUUGUACGGAACGAAACGGUCUGGGUUAAUACCCUGGGCUAAUGACGGUACCGUAAGAAUAAGCACCGGCUAACUACGUGCCAGCCGCCGCUGUAA